rnacentral:rRNA from 2 species
UUUUCGGAGGGUUUGAUCCUGGCUCAGAGCGAACGCUGGCGGCGUGGAUUAGACAUGCAAGUCGAGCGAUCUGCCUUCGGGUAGAUAGCGGCGAACGGGUGAGUAA